CGGCAGCUCAACUGUCAAGCAGCAACUUCGUCUUUCACUGUUGUUUUUACUAAUUUCAGAAAUGGUUUAGUGUCUUCGGAAAAAGUCCGUUAGCAUCUCAACCGUGAGCUAACUAUAAGAGAAGCGUCAGAAAAAACCCUCUAUUACACAGAAGUUCCUGAUUUUAACAUUUCUGAAGGGAGCUGCUGACAGAGAAAUACACAUCACAGGUGAUCUGAUAUCGCCUAUAUCACCAAGCAUCUGUAAUUUUCUUUUGCAAAAUUAUAUAUAUAUGGGUCAUUCUAUAAUUAAGGGUACAUUUCAAGUCCAUUGGUUGUAUUUAUCAUUUUUACUGAAUAUUCACUUCAAGCAAUGAUCACUUUUAUAUUUGGGCACAUUCCUCUUUAUUUCAUGCAUAAAAGUCAACCAGUUCCAAAAGUUAAUUAGGAGAAAAUACAGAUGCUGUACUGGAAAUAACAGUUUUUGUGCUGUCCGAUUUGCUAAAAGUCAAGUUUUGCCUUUCAAAUUAACACUACAAUACAUGUUUUUGUAUAUUAUUUUCAUCAUUAUUUGUUAAAAAUAAUCAUUAAAACAAGGCAAAUGUAUUUUAAAAACUAAUUCACUUGUUUAUAUCUAUUAAAUUAUUAACUUUGUGUGUGUCCGAGAAAUCUUUGUCAACUGUGUUACCCAUUGACAAAACCCCUAUAAAUCAGCAAUGGUUUGUUCCAAAGUCACAUGUCCAACAUCAUGUGAUGUCACAACCUUCAGUGGUGGGAAUUUUAAAUACAGUGUGGUAAGUUUCUACUCCUCCUCUUCAAUUUUUAAUCAUUAUUAUUGUCUACACAUAGAGUAGAUGAAUUGCUCAUCAACUGUGUUAUCAACAUGGUCGUGUGUACUUACUUUAGAUAUUAUAUUUACAAAAAUGUAGAUAAAAUGUAUAAAAACACUAGUUGAUCAAGGUAAUGUGGGGACAUGUUCAAGGUCUACAGUUAGCACAAGGCCCUAAAAUGGAAGAAAUGUCAACUGUGUUACUUGUCAACUGUGUUACCCAUCAAG